rnacentral:rRNA from 1 species
CGACAAAAACCCAAAUUCAGACGGCAAAGAUUUUGCCGUCAGGAAGCAGACGACAAACUCAGACGGCAAAUAUAAGUCGGCAAAGAGUACUUUGCCGUCAGCCUUUUGUCAAGAUGACGGCAAAGAUUUUGCCGUCAAUCAUUACAAUUUUGCUGUCUGGCGCAAAAAUAACAGACGGUAAAAAACCCAUGCUUUGCCGUCAGUCAAAACCUGUGCUUUGCCGUCAUCCAGAAUAAAGUACAGACGGCAAAGAUUGUUUUUCAUUUUUUUUAAAGUGACGUCUGAGCAGAGCAUCUCGCCAGACACACGAACAACAGACAAAACAGGUUCAGCUCGCGGAGAUUUUGGAUUCGACGCGGCGUGCUGUCUUGCAUUCAUCGUCGGUGGCGUUACAAAGAAGUUACAGAGCUGUCCAAAAAAUUUACACAAAGACCCUUAUAAACUAAAAAGGAAAAGCAAUCAAGUUCUCCAUCACAGCAACAGAUACUUCACCGCCAGCCGUCCUUCUUCUCGCCGGGGACAAUACCGCCUCGCCCUGCUCUCCGUGCCACCGGACCGCCAUGCUCGCCCGACCCUGGUACCCGCACCGCCGCCCGGCCGUGCUCGCUGGUUCCUGGAGAGAGAGAGAGAAGGGAGCACCGCCGCGCGCCAGUGCAGCGUCGGGUGGCCGACGCCGGAGGGAGGAGCUCCUCUGUGGUGGCCGUCACGUGCCAUGCUCGAGGGAAGAGGCCGCCGCGCGCCCGAGGGAAGAAGCCGCCGCGCCCCUGCGCUGAGCAGUCGACGGUGGAGUGAGCCGCCGCCGCGCGCCAUGCUCGUUGCCCGCGCGUCCAGCAAGCUCGUCGUCUGCGCGUCCGGCAAGCUCGCUGCCAGCGCGGCCGCCCUGCUCCACGCCUGUGGGGUCUCCCUGCUCACCGCCUGCGCAUCCGCCAAGAGCGGCCGCCCUGCUCCCCGCCCGUGGGGUCUCCCUGCUCACCGCCCGCGCAUCCGCCAAGCGCGGCCGCCCUGCUCCCCGCCCGUGGGGUCUCCCUGCUCACCGCCCGCGCAUCCGCCAAGCGCGGCCGCCCUGCUCCCCGCCCGCGCGGAUGGCCUGCUUGCCAGUGCCGGCCAUGGAUGUGCUGGUGGGUGGCUGUGUGGUGUGUGUUCCGUGGCCAUGGAUGUGUUGGUUUGGUGGGUGGUUGUGUGAUGUGCGUUCCGUGGCAUGAG